ACCUGGGUGGCUCAGUUAGUUGAGCGUCUGACUUCGGCUCAGGACAUGAUCUCAGUUCGUGGGUUCGAGCCCCGCAUCAGGCU
rnacentral:tRNA from 1 species